rnacentral:lncRNA from 1 species
UUUUGAUGCCAUCUUUCCAUAGGGACUGUAUUCUGGAGUCUGGAGCCUUACCAAAGCACAUGGUAAGAGUUUAGUUUUCAUCCGUUAGGACUACUUCUAGAUUUCCUAGACGUUUCAAUGAAAAUCCCAUUUCUUUAAAAAAAUGUCAAUGGUAACUGGACUCCUCUUCCUUUUCCCAAGGCUCCCCAUCUAAGAUAUGUUCAAGGUAACUUAUUUUAGUAGCUAUGCACUAUGGCUGCCAUCAUGCGAGGAUCAGUAAUUUUUUGGCAGAUGGUUCUUAAGGCUGAGGAAAGAGGCCAAGGCUAGUGUAUGAAAGGUAAAAAGAUAAAAACACUCACAUCUGAGUUUUGAUUAAGUAACUGAAAAACCCCUACAUGCUGUUUUUCCACCUCUGCUCUGACCUUUCGAGAACUGAGAUGGACGGCGGGCCGGCCUGAGAACAAUACCGACCCUUCUUUUGUACCUCCUGCCUUUGUCAAGCCAAAUCGUAAGGAAUGAAAGUUUCACACGGAUUCGAGUUGGAAAUCCCAGCAUGACAAAUAUCUGUAAUAUACAGUACAUGCAGGCCACAUCCCACUGCCUUCCUAACUAAGCAC